rnacentral:rRNA from 1 species
CAAUAGCGUAUACUAACGUUGUUGCAGUUAAAAGCUCGAUAGUUGGAUUUCUGAUUACCUGAACUAGACUGACCCACCGGGCCAGGAUCUUUUACAGGUCGUCAACAUUUGGCGUGAUGGUGGUUCGUCCCUUCACUGGGCCGACUACUCAAUCGUCUCGUUUACUUUGAGAAAAUUAGAGUGUUCAAAGCAGGCUCUCGCCUUGAAUAUGUUAGCAUGGAAUAAUGACAUAGGACUCCGGUUCUAUUUGUUGGUUGUUCGAGAACUAGAGUAAUGAUUGAUAGGGACGGUUGGGGCGAUACGGUAUUCCGGGCGAGAGGUGAAAUUCAGUUG